AGAGAAAGUCAUGGUGUGGCCUCCAUCCUCCCCUGACCUCAAUCCUAUUGAGAACCUUUGGAGCAUCCUCAAGCAAAAGAUCUAUGAGGGUGGGAGGCAGUUUACAUCCAAACAGCAGCUCUGGGAGGCUAUUCUGACAUCUUGCAAACAAAUUCAAGCAGAAACUGUCCAAAAACUCACAAAUUCAAUGGAUGCAAGACUUGUGAAG